rnacentral:rRNA from 1 species
GAUGAACGCUGGCGGCGUGCUUAACACAUGCAAGUCGAACGGAAAGGCUCCUGCUUGCAGGGGUACUCGAGUGGCGAACGGGUGAGUAACACGUGGGUGAUCUGCCCUGCACUUCGGGAUAAGCCUGGGAAACUGGGUCUAAUACCGGAUAGGACGAUGGUUUGGAUGCCAUUGUGGAAAGUUUUUCGGUGUGGGAUGAGCUCGCGGCCUAUCAGCUUGUUGGUGGGGUAAUGGCCUACCAAGGCGUCGACGGGUAGCCGGCCUGAGAGGGUGUACGGCCACAUUGGGACUGAGAUACGGCCCAGACUCCUACGGGAGGCAGCAGUGGGGAAUAUUGCACAAUGGGCGCAAGCCUGAUGCAGCGACGCCGCGUGGGGGAUGACGGCCUUCGGGUUCUAAACUCCUUUCGCUAGGGACGAAGCGCAAGUGACGGUACCUGGAGAAGAAGCACCGGCUAACUACGUG